UGCGUAGGCGGGUCUUUAAGUCAGGGGUGAAAUCCUGGAGCUCAACUCCAGAACUGCCUUUGAUACUGAAGAUCUUGAGUUCGGGAGAGGUGAGUGGAACUGCGAGUGUAGAGGUGAAAUUCGUAGGUAUUCGCAAGAACACCAGUGGCGAAGGCGGCUCACUGGCCCGAUACUGACGCUGAGGCACGAAAGCGUGGGGAGCAAACA
rnacentral:rRNA from 1 species